GCAGUGACCCUCAAUCAUCCAAGAGAUCCAUGUCACAAAAUGUAAUACCCCAAAGGAGGGCACGGCCCUGCGCCCCACCCCCACCCCCAUCAGUUCACUGCCAUCUUUAGAAGUCACCAUCUACAGCAGGACUUUCAGACCUCAUCAGCAGAGAUGUUUCUUUGUGUAGUGGACAGAAAUAAGUGAAGACACUCACAUCUGGUUAAAGGACUGUGAAGGUGCUCAGGCACAGAUUGGAUACCUAUAUCACAUCUCCUCUCCAGUGCCUAGAGACCAUGAAGAAGAGGGUGAGGAAAUUGCAUCAGCCAGCGACUGGGGAGAACUAGAGGGAAACAGGGUCUUCUGGAUGAGAGAGGACUGUGGUCCUCCCGGAUUCACAGCAGCAUCCGCCUAAGAUCUGCAUGAAGAACAAGCCGGUCAGCAUUCCAGCCCAGAGCAAGAAGAGCUAUCAAUGGCCUCUGUGGGAACAAGAGCGUUCCAGGCGGAUGAUCAUUCAUCAUGGCAGGGAUACAAGGCAGCAAGCAUCAAGCACCGUAGUAGGAGCUGCAAACGGAGCGACCAGAACUCUACUGCACAUACAGGAGCAAAGAGCCUACACUGGCGGUAGGGAGAGGAUGUAAACUCUCAAAGCCUGCCCCCAGUGAAAUACUUCCUCCAGCCAGGCUCUACAUCCUAAGAGUUCUAUAUUCUCCUCUCAUAGCCAACUGGGGACCAGAUGUCAAAUACAUGAGUCUGUGCGGGACAUUUCUCACGCAGCCAACAACACCACAUCUACAGCAGCAAUCACACAAAGUAAGUAAGCCCCUGUCAUAAACUUUAAACGUAUGUGUAUGAUCGAGGAAGAGAAUAGUCAAAACCCAUCCUAGGGACAAGAAGGCCCAAGUAUAUUGUAUAUUUUGCUCUCAGAAGGCUUGGCUACUGUCUCAGUCAGGGUUUCUACUCCUGCACAAACAUCGUGACCAAGAAGCAA
rnacentral:lncRNA from 1 species